UACGUAGGGCGCAAGCGUUGUCCGGAAUUAUUGGGCGUAAAGAGCUCGUAGGCGGCCUGUUGCGUCCGCUGUGAAAUCCCGGGGCUCAACCCCGGGCCUGCAGUGGAUACGGGCUGGCUAGAGGCAGGCAGGGGAGAACGGAAUUCCUGGUGUAGCGGUGAAAUGCGCAGAUAUCAGGAGGAACACCGGUGGCGAAGGCGGUUCUCUGGGCCUGUACUGACACUGAGGCGCGAAAGCUCGGGGAGCGAACGGG
rnacentral:rRNA from 1 species